rnacentral:lncRNA from 10 species
UCCCCACCCCACCUCGGUGACUGAUGGCGGCAGCGGCUUGUCCCUGCCGGGACCCCACCCAACACCGGGUCUCCCAGCCCAAGCCUGCCGGAACGCAGUGUCUUUGGGUGGCGGCGGGAGUGGCGGGCCCGGAAGCAUGGCGGCCACCCAAACGCCAGGCGAUGGAAGCCGUUAGGGCGUGGCGGAACCGGAAGGCGGCCUAGGGACGCACGCAGGCUCGGCUGUCUCUUUAGGCCACGGAGCUGCGUAGAUCCGGAACCCUGGGCGACUGAUCUGUCCCCAUUGGGCGAGACCUACCUAGACAAAGGCCUUAACAUACCGACAAAGGCCUUAAGGGGCCUGGGAGGCAUGAACCUUCAGAGCCCUGAGCUGCCUUGUAAGAAGUCUAGCUAGCAAUGCCACCAUGCUGGAGAGAUGAUGAGGGAAAACUACAUACAGACACAAACAGAGUGAGACACUCAAGAAGCCCUAGUUGUGGAAUACAGCAGUGCUAUGGAGGCUUGACAUAACCAUCUACUUUUCCAGAAACCCACAUUGUCUAAGGUGAUAACAGAGGAAAUACCUGCCUGAUGCUCUCAAUGUCAUCAGUUAAACUGAAGGCACAACAGAAAGGAUUUGU